AGCAGCCGCGGUAAUUCCAGCUCCAAUAGCGUAUAUUAAAGUUGUUGCAGUUAAAAAGCUCGUAGUUGAACUUCGGGGUUUACCCAUUGGUCAGGCUUAAUUGUCUGUACUGGUGAGAUAAAUCUCUACCUUCUGAGGAACUUUCAUGUCAUUAAUUUGGUGUGAUUGGAAAUCAGGACUGUUACUUUGAAAAAUUAGAGCGUUUAAAGCAGGCUAACGUCUGAAUACAUUAGCAUGGAAUAAUGAAAUAGGACGGACUGAUUCUAUUUCGUUGGUUUCUAGGAUCACCGUAAUGAUUAAUAGGGAUAGUUGGGGGCAUUAGUAUUCAAUUGUCAGAGGUGAAAUUCUUGGAUUUAUUGAAGACUAACUACUGCGAAAGCAUUUGCCAAGGAUGUUUUCAUUAAUCAAGAACGAAAGUUAGGGGAUCGAAGACGAUCAGAUACCGUCGUAGUCUUAACCAUAAACUAUGCCGACUAGGGAUCGGACGAAGUUAAUUUUAUAAUGACGCGUUCGG
rnacentral:rRNA from 1 species